GAACUGGUGGGAUCGCACCAUGGCCUGGGCCCCUCUGCUCCUCGCGGUGCUCGCCCACAGCUCAGGUUCCCUGGUCCAGGCAGCGCUGACUCAGCCGCCCUCGGUGUCGGCGAAGCCGGGAGAGACCGUCAAGAUCACAUUCUCUGGGAGUAGCAGCAACUAUGGCUGGUUCCAGCAGAAGGUGCCUGGUCGUGCCCCUGUCACUGUGAUCUAUUACAAUGACAAGAGACCCUCGGACAUCCCUUCACGAUUCUCCGGAUCCAAGUCUGGCUCCACGGCCACGUUAACCAUCACUGGGGUCCAAGCCGAGGACGAGGCUGUCUAUUUCUGUGGUGGCUACGACAGCAGCAGUGAUGCUGGUGUUUUGUCUCAGAGAGGCUGUGGGGCUGGUACAAGUUCAUUUCUCCUCUCUAUGGCCACGGCUGCAGCUGCAGCAAACGUUAAUGGUCCAUCCAGAGAUCCAUACCCAUAG